ACGGCCGUGCUGUCGCAGAACGUGGUCCUGAAUUUGUUUAUAUAUUUGUUAGAUGUACGAGCAACAGAAGAAAAUCUACCCUCUGCUCAUUGUUGGUGGUUCAGACUCGGGUCUUCGAUGCAAAUCAAUCAAGUGCCCCCAUCUUUAGUUAUUCUGUUUGGUGGUACGUGGAUCUGCUGGUGCACUGAAUGGGGAGCUGAUGAACCCGGCGUCUCGACAGAUAUACCUCAUCUUCCCGGCGGACAGCACCUUCCACGAGGAUGACAUCUCCAACUACUUCAGCAUCUGCGGUCCUGUCCACGAUGUGCGCAUCCCCUACCAGCAGAACCACAUGUUUGGGUUCGUCACCUUCGUCUACAAGGAGAAGGGCAAGGUCCGCAGCAAGUUCAGGCAAGCCCACGGCAAUCUUUGCCUCUUGCUUCCGGCAGCAGUAACAGCAACAUCCCCAUGACCAUUUAUUUUUGUUGUUGCUCUGCAGGAAGCAUAAGGGCGAGAGGGUGGACUUCUCUAGCUGCGGGUCUCCCAACUAUUGUAUCUACUUGAUUGCCUUCUGUUAUCCAGAUCGAAAUUGUCCUAAGAAUGAGGCAACACUCGGAGGUGGCACCUACACAUGAUCCCUGUCUCGCUUAGAUGUCAAGGUCGUUUCUCUCCAUAUUGUAUACCUUUCAUAGGUUUUUUCCUGGCUUUUACUUUAUGAUGUGUAGAGAUUAAACGGUAUCUGCUUGGACUAUUAUUGUAUUCGGCACUAAUAAAUCAUAAAUAUAUGAGACUAUGAGUAUACUCUUACGGUUUUACUUAAUUUCUACCUCCGUUGAUAUAGCAUAUCUUCUUUGUAUUAUUUCACAGGAUUCUUUGCAAGCAGUUAAAAUAUCCUAUAUAAUCUGGAAAAGAGAUAGCUUAAAUCGGUGCAUGUGUAAUUAACUCCAUAUAUUAUUUCGAGGCAGAGUUCAAUACAUGCAUGUUCUCUCAAAUUAGGUUGCCCUUGGCGUGUAUAUAAAUGUGAUGCUUCCUUCCAUGACUAAACAGGUUGAUGUUAGGUAUGAAUGUAUAGUCGAGUCAUCUUUAACAUAAUUGCUUUGUGCACUAUGUUUCAACUCUGUCAAUUGUGUUGGCAUAACUGAUUCCACUGCCUUUUGUUAUUGUUUGGAUCAACUACUAUGUACUGAACCUAUUUAUAUCUAUGCCAUGCUUUACCGCAAAAUGCUAAUUUAUGUUGUUCCAAACUGAAGCUCUUAUGGACUGCAUAUUAUACUAGAUUGAUAUGAAGGUGUCCAAACAUGUGGCAUAUCAAGAUUGUUAGGCUUUCGUGUUAGGUCCUGUCAGAUUAACUAUAUUAUUAUCUACUUCAUGUGUUUUGUGCAUUUAGUUCUGUUUGUUUUGAUCGAGUAAGUGACACCUAACUUUCAUUGAUUUCUGGGAUUGUUCAUUAUCUUGAGCCAUGCCUGCUACCGAAUCUGAAUGUUUCCAUCUCUGGUACCAUGGCACGGCAUUGGCGGCGGCGUCUUGGUGAAGAAGAGGACUACAGUGGCUUAGGGAGGAAGAUGACAGUGGCAACCUGAUCUAUGUAUGUUUCUCCUGUGGCCACGGCCAGGGGUGAGGAGAUAUCGAUUAAGCUAGCCCUGACCUUCACGGGCUUGGAUAUGGGGCUACAGAUCGUAGACCUGAUUUUGAGGGAAAUACUGCCCUGCCAAAAAGCCAACCGGUCGAGCUAGCCACACUGUGAAAGGGCCGAGCAACAACAACCUGAUAUACAUCAGUCGACAGUGAAGGCCUACUCCUACUCUGGAACAUUUUCCUACGGAUAAGAGGGCCACAAUACCAAUUGGUUCGCCUUCAAGAUUAGAAGGGGACACCAUCGUUCACUGUACAUAUGCUUUAGAAGGAAAUCACAAGUGCAUUUUUUAUACAAAACCAUUAUGUGGUCAUCUAUCUUACAAACUAUUCACACCAGAUUCAUAUGGAAUGGCACUCAUGGAGGCAGUUGAACCAAGCUAUCUAUUAGUAUGCGUAACUAUGGCUUCGUAGUUUUAUCGCCUCCAUUGCCACUGUUGGCUUUUGCUCUCUUAUGUUCCUACUCGUGUUACUGAACUUAAUGUCAGCUAAUUAGCUUUUGUAUUCUCAUUACUGCAUUGAACUUGAUGUUGCAUUACUUCUGGGGCGGGUUAGUUUUUAUAACCUCAUCACUUUGUUGAACUUGGAAUAUUUAUUCUUUCCCUUGAACAAAAAAAUCGGUUGUGCA